CUUAUAUUUACUGGCCCAAUUUUUGUCUUGUCAGUCUGUACAUUUUGAACGAAAACGCAUCACAUAGAGCAAGGACUAUUGUAAGGAAUAUUGUUCGUUAUUCAUGGUUAUGACUUUGAAGAGCGGGAGAAGCAGUUGUUUUCUUUCUAGUCAGGAUGGCACAACGAAACUUUUAUUCACCCUGUUGUUUGUGUGGUGUGCUAUUAAUUCUGCGACUAGAGUUGGUGCUUCAAAAAAGGAGUCUUCAACUUCAGGAUAUACGGCUUCAGAAAGAACAACUAUACUUGCCAUUUCAACCUCAGCAAAACCAGCUCCAACCUCAUCAGAUUCUUCAGGUGCAACAAUGGUUAUAACUACAGAAAGACUUGCUUCAACAACCAUGACUACGUCUUCAGAAAAGACAAAAGCAGCUGAAACAACAAAUACUGCAUCCACAGCCACAACUGAACAUUCCACUGCUACAGUUAAAACAGUGGAAACCACAACUACAGGUUCAUUAACUACAUCUACAACAAACGAUCCAAAAACAUCAACAGCUGUAACAUCAGAAUCCACAACUCUUACUUCAACAACUAUGCCUACAUUAUCAGAAACAACUGCACCUGUAACAACAUCAACAACUACAGCAUCCUCAACUACUGAAAUUUCCACCACCACAGUUGUGAAGACCGAAACAACAGCCAUUACUUCAACAACACUGCCUACAACUUCAGAGAGUACAACAGCAGAAACCACAACUACAGCUUCAUCAAUUUUAUCUACAUCAACAAACUAUCCAACAACAUCAACAGCUGUAAUUUCAGAAUCCACAACUCUAACUUCAACAACAAUACCUACAUCUUCAGAAACAACUGUACCUGUAACAAUAUCAACAACUAAAGGAUUGUCAAUUAGUGAAAUUCCAACAACCACAGUUGUGAGUACAGAGACCACAACUACUACUUCAACAACACUGC